CGCUUGAACGGUACGGACGUGUGCUGCCGCUGCGCGUGUGUGUAUUUAACUUGGCUUGUAGAAGAGAAAUACUUAAUUAUACAAUACACAUAUGUAUUUUUCGUUCUAAAGUAUAUAUGCAACAAAUUGCAUUCGUUAUUACCCAAGUGCAGCAGUGAGUUUGACACACAAAUUGCAGUACGAGCAGGCGAAUGGCAGGCAACAAAUGCUUUAAUAAGCAUAAUACAUAAAGUUCCCAAUUACCGCAUGCUAAAAUUUUAAUCGCAUAACAACAACGAAGCAAAAGCAAAGCAAAAAAAAGUAAUAAUAAUAGUGCAAGGUGUAUGAGCAAAGCAACAAAAACAAUCUUGAGGUUUCGUCGAAUCGUAUUUUGCAUGUCUUCCUCUUCGCAACCACAACAACACCAACAAAAAGGCGCCGAAAAUGUCACACGACAACAACAACAACAAC